CUUGUAGUCCCUCCGUCCGAAAAUACUUUUCAUAGGAAUGAAUGUAUCUAGAUAUAUUUUAGUUCUAGAUACAUCCAUUUUCAUUUAUUUGUACGACAAGUAUUUCUGGAUAGAGGGAGUAUAUU
rfam:Hordeum vulgare subsp. vulgare, WGS project CAJW01000000 data, contig: morex_contig_2410114